AGCGAAUAGAUACCCGGGUAGUCCCAGCCGUAAACGAUGCUCGCUAGGUGUCAGGCAUGGCGCGACCGUGUCUGGUGCCGCAGGGAAGCCGUGAAGCGAGCCACCUGGGAAGUACGGCCGCAAGGCUGAAACUUAAAGGAAUUGGCGGGGGAGCACAACAACGGGUGGAGCCUGCGGUUUAAUUGGACUCAACGCCGGACAACUCACCGGGGGCGACAGCAAUAUGUAGGCCAGGCUGAAGACCUUGCCUGAAUCGCUGAGAGGAGGUGCAUGGCCGUCGCCAGUUCGUACUGUGAAGCAUCCUGUUAAGUCAGGCAACGAGCGAGACCCGUGCCCACUGUUACCAGCAUAUUCUCCGGAAUGAUGGGUACUCUGUGGGGACCGCCGAUGUUAAGUCGGAGGAAGGUGCGGGCCACGGUAGGUCAGUAUGCCCCGAAUCUCCCGGGCUACACGCGGGCUACAAUGGAUGGGACAAU
rnacentral:rRNA from 1 species